AGUUUGAUCAUGGCUCAGGAUGAACGCUAGCGGCAGGCUUAAUACAUGCAAGUCGUGGGGCAGCAGGUUUGUAGCAGUACAGAUGCUGGCGACCGGCAAACGGGUGCGGAACACGUACAGAACCUUCCUUUGAGCGGGGAAUAGCCCAGAGAAAUUUGGAUUAAUACCCCAUAGUAUAAUGAAGUGGCAUCACUUUAUUAUUAAAGAUUUAUCACUCGAAGAUGGCUGUGCGGCUGAUUAGGUAGUUGGCGGGGUAAAGGCCCACCAAGCCUGCGAUCAGUAACUGGUGUAAGAGCACGACCAGUCACACGGGCACUGAGACACGGGCCCGACUCCUACGGGAGGCAGCAGUAAGGAAUAUUGGUCAAUGGAGGCAACUCUGAACCAGCCAUGCCGCGUGGAGGAUGAAGGUCCUCUGGAUUGUAAACUUCCUUUAUAUGGGACGAAAAAGGCUUUUCUAAGUCGUCUGACGGUACCAUAUGAAUAAGCACCGGCUAACUCCGUG
rnacentral:rRNA from 1 species